AAAGCGCAGGUCCCCGCCUCGGCAGCCACGGGACACCUGCAUCUGCCAACAAGACUGGAAGCAGGUGAGGCACACAGAGGGGGAGGCCCGCAGCUGCGUGGGAGGAGGGGUGGUCUGAGGGACGUGGGAUGCCGGGAAUGAGGCUGGUUUGCAGGUUGGCGCAUGGACAUUUUCCCAGAAAGGGACAGAGACGGCGAAGUUUGACGGUCUGGAAAGCAGAGACCAGCAGGGCUGACUGCUUGGGAGGACGAGGGACAGCUCUCCACCGACCGAAGGAACCAAAUAUCCGGACAGCGCCUCUCGGGAGGUCCGAGAAGAGAACCGCGAUCUGUUUCAGCACCGGGGCUCAGGACAGUUCCCAGCGGGCUCCGUUUCGUCUCCAGAACCCUGGACAGCUCCUCCAGGCUCCCAAAGUGCUAGGAUUACAGGCGUGAGCUGUGCCCAUGUGACAUUUGGGGAACCCAAGGCCCUGAGAAAGGCAGAAAAAUAACCCACGCAGGGACUCUCAGCCCACAAGUGAAGCUGAGAACCGGGAAUGGAAAACAGGGAGGCAGCACAGAGGCAGGAAACUCAGGUGUCAUAGCUUGGCUCAGGUUGGAAUGCACUCCCUCCACCUCCAACCAGAGCUCCCCACAACUGACCCUGCCUUCUUCUGCAAGCUCCAUUUCAUCAAGGGAAACGAUCCUUAUUGCCUCACCAUUUCCCACGUGAAGUCUGUAUUGACAUUCUCAUAGACCUGGGAUAUUGUGUCUGCAGCACAUAGUCCAAUUAUUUUCAUGUUAUCUACUGACAGGUCUAUUUGUCUCCCUGUUACACUGUGAGCUCCGUGAGGGCAGAAACAAUGUUAGUAUUUUCACUGCUGUGUCCCCAGCGCCUGGUCCGGGGCCCGGCACACAGCAGGCAUAUAAUAAGCAUGUGUUGAAUCAAUAAAGGCAUCAAAGAAUAAACCAAUACAUCAAUCAAU
rnacentral:lncRNA from 10 species